UACGUAGGGUGCGAGCGUUAAUCGGAAUUACUGGGCGUAAAGCGUGCGCAGGCGGUGAUGUAAGACCGAUGUGAAAUCCCCGGGCUUAACCUGGGAACUGCAUUGGUGACUGCAUUGCUGGAGUACGGCAGAGGGGGGUGGAAUUCCACGUGUAGCAGUGAAAUGCGUAGAGAUGUGGAGGAACACCGAUGGCGAAGGCAGCCCCCUGGGCCAAUACUGACGCUCAUGCACGAAAGCGUGGGGAGCAAACAGG
rnacentral:rRNA from 1 species